rnacentral:tRNA from 1 species
GGCGUGAUAGCCAAGCGGUUAGGCAGAGGACUGCAAAUCCUUCUAGAUCGGUUCGACUCCGAUUCGCGCCUCCA